rnacentral:ncRNA from 1 species
CCUCCGAAGUUUCCCUCAGGAUAGCUGGCGCUCGCUUCUCGCGAGUCUCAUUCGGUAAAGCGAAUGAUUAGAGGCAUUGGGGUCGAAACGGCCUCAACCUAUUCUCAAACUUUAAAUGGGUGAGAUCUCCGGCUUGCUUGAACUGUGAAGCCGCGAGAUAUCGGAUCAGAGUGCCAAGUGGGCCACUUUUGGUAAGCAGAACUGGCGCUGUGGGAUGAACCAAACGCCGAGUUAAAGCGCCUAAAUCGACGCUUAUGGGAUACCAUGAAAGGCGUUGGUAACUUAAGACACUUUAUUUGUUUAACUUAAAACUAAAUGACAAUAAAUGCCCUAGCUCCGGUGCUCCGCCAGCGGCACUACACCGGAUG